CAGGAUGACUCAUGAUUGUCGCAGGGUAAUGCUUCCCGCAAGACAAAAGCAGAGCCUCCCUUCUCUCUCUACCCACUGAGGAGAAUCAGUUGUAACCACCUGCUGAAGCUCUCCCUGGGACAAUUAAAGAGAACUGGAGAUGGCUGUUUGUCAUCUGCCUGCAGGGGAAAUAAGAACUUGUUGAACACAAGCAUCAUGAAAUAAGAUGUUAAAGUCAUUUCAGGACUGGCUCAUAACACAGACAACAGUAAACAACAGUAAAUGUCAACAACAG